AAAAACUAGUGCCGUCCCAAUUUUCCUUCUCUCUCCAUGCCAAAAAUGGCAAUAGCGCAGAGACCUCAGGCUUUUUGCAGUCCUUGCACAACUAUUUUCAUACAACAAUUAAUGUUUCAAAAUUGUUUUCACUCAAAUUCAUCCAAACACGUCUUGAGAUUGGAAGCACAAGGCUUCAAGAUCCAUUCUUGACACAGGUUGCACCAACAAAAGGUGGAAGUGUUGUGGUUUGAGUUGGUACUGAGAUCUAUUAGACGACAAGAGGUUCAGACAGAUAAGUAGAAGACACUCGCCAUAGGAUGUUCCCGAGCCAUCAGCUGGAUUGGUGAACUCCAUUUAUAUUCGGAGUAUUGCCGAGUCAGAGUACAUAUGUAUAUAUAUGUGUGUCAUAUGCAUUAUUGGUACGUCGGGGACCUGUCUCGACCUAUGUUAUGGUUUCUAGGUUUAUGUUAGAGACUUUGCAGAUAGUGUUUUGGGUAUUGCCUGUCGAGAUGUUGACAGUGUCUAUAGCAGUCAUGUAGAUCUGCACAUUCAUGUGUAUUCUUUACGAAGAGUUUUACUGAGUUUACGAUAAAUUGAUAGCAAGUAUGAAAUGAAUGGUUUAUGGGCUCACGUAAGGAUAAUAGAAAAGGAAUGAAUAGCAUGGUGACACUCAGUCAGGCAGGACAUCGGGUGUCGGUCGCAGCCCUCUGGUUUGGGUCGUGACACUUAAGGUACAUACUUAUAAUUAUUAGAUACCCUCCUUAACCUUAUAAGGGCUUCAUGCCCCCUUUGAGCUUACGUUAGUUUACACAUAAUGCAAAUAGGCAGAAAAUUUCAAAGGUGUAACAGAUUGGGUCUGUUUAAUGCUUAGGAAUAGUCUGUGACACCUCUGUGAGGUUAAAGUGAUCUAGAAAGUAAUCUGAUGCCAUUUUAACUCAUUUUAUGUCCUUAUAUGAACUCAAUUAGGUUUUAUAGAUGAAAGUAAUCCCUAUCUAUGCUUGAAUGAUCCUUCCUGCUUGUGUUUGCACCUAUGUGAACAUUCAGUUACAAGUGGAUUAAAGCAGUGCCCUUAUGAUCACCAGGGACUAAUAGUAAGGUAAAAGCCACAUGACCUGGAUGAGUUUUUUUAAAAGAUGUUCUGGAGAGAGGGUUAAGGGAUAACCUGGCAACUGUCUGGUUCAUAACACCUUCAAUCCAUAUAAAUAGCACCAUGGCAGUUCCAUGGCCUAUGGGGCAAGCCUACUGUAUGAAGCCCUUGUAAUCAUAUAGACUCAAGGGUGUAAAAUUGGAACCAAAGAUAGCCUACUGAAUGAUAUGCGGAAAUUAAAUGAAAAGCUUAAUUGCAUAUAUGUAUUUAAAUUGGACAUAAAAUGGGGAAGGUCUAGAAGGGAUUUAAAAAUUCUGAACAUUAAGUUGUUGUACCUUUGAAAGAUCAUAUAAUGCCCAUCUUCAAGAACACUGAUAAGAAGCAUGCAUCACUCUUCUCACAUCCUUUCCUUUAUCCAUUCUAAACUUGUAUCUUUCAUGUGACUCAUAUUGUUUUUUAUCCAUGUUUGUUGUCAUAUGAAAUCAAUUGUAAUCUAUAGUGAUAAAGCUGCACCAUCUGCACAUGUUUGGGACUGCUUGCAUUUUUUUUGCUUAUAGUAUGUGUAUCCAAAUAUAGUUAAUCUUCCCUGAAAGCUGUAUAUCUUACAUAAGGUCGUUUGGACUUAGAACAUUUUUACAUUGCUUGUAUUUGGCCCUGCUUGCACCAUGGUUACUUGCCUUGUCUGCAACUGCUUACUCUUAAGAUAGUGCUACAUCAUGCUGGUGGUCUUUAGGCUCAGAGAGGCCCUGAUCCUUCCUGUAUCUCCCUUGCAUAUUUAGAUCUAUUUGUACUCUGCUUUUGCUGGUGUCACAGUAGUUAGAGCUUAGUUAUUUGUCCUGUGUGUUACCUAUUCUGUAAGUGAUUACUUCAGCUAGGGAAUCUGAUCCCAUUUGCUUAGUCCUAUCCAUGCUAUGUCCAUUAAAGUCAUAAACAAUGCCUUCCUGCAUAUUAUUGCAUCCUGUACAAGGUCAUCCAAGUUUGAGAAAUGCCAUGAUUUAGCUUAUGUGUGUGUUUGCUUUGACUGUGCAUAAGUCAUGUACCUUGUCCUUUAUAUUGUGGCCAUUGUGUGGGAAACUUUGUAUGAUCCUUAUGAGUAUCAGACUUGUUGUUUGCCUUUGUCUAUACCAUAUCUAUGUGUUUCAGUUUGCUUCUAUUUGUACCAUAUCUAUGUGUCUCAGCUUGUUUUGUCUACACUAUGCUUAUGUGUUUUAACUGCAAACUACUGUCCUCUGUUUUAAGACAUCACAUCUUGUCUAGACCAUGCUAUUGUUGAGUAUGAAUGCUAUUCUAUCAUUCUUCUUCCCUGCUGCUAUGUAUGGCUAAGAAAUUAAGGCAACCUUGAGGUUGGUUUAGCCUUCCCCCCGAUAGCCUACCAUGCCCAAGGUUCAUGAAACCUUUUUUGAUCAUGUGCGGCAUCGGGGAUACGUAUGGUGAUAACCCCCCAUGUUGCCUGAAUCUCUGCCAUUACGGCCCAAUGUUGUAUCUUUGUGUCUGUUUCUUUUUCUUUUCUUU